GACAGAGGAGCCAAGCGUUGUCCGGAGUAACUGGGCGUAAAGCGCACGCAGGUGGUUUGGCGCGUGGGGUGUGAAAGCUCUCGGCUUAACUGAGAGAGGCCACCUCAUACGGCCAAGCUCGAGCCCUGCAGAGGUCCACGGAAUUGCCGGUGUAGUGGUGAAAUGCGUAGAGAUCGGCAGGGAACACCCAGGGGGAAACCAGUGGACUGGGCAGGCGCUGACACUCGAUGUGCGAAAGCGUGGGGAGCGAACCGG
rnacentral:rRNA from 1 species